rnacentral:rRNA from 1 species
GAAGUGUCGGGUUAAGUCCCUUAACGAGCGCAACCCCUGUCGUUAGUUGCUAGCAGGUAAUGCUGAGGACUCUAACGAGACUGCCGGUGUUAAACCGGACGAAGGUGGGGAUGACGUCAAGUCCGCAUGGCCUUUAUGCCCAGGGCUGCACACGUGCUACAAUGGCAGGUACAGAACGAUGCAAUACCGCGAGGUGGAGCAAAUCGCGAAAACCUGCCCCAGUUCGGAUUGGAGGCUGCAAUUCGCCUCCAUGAAGUUGGAAUCGCUAGUAAUCGCGGAUCAGCAUGCCGCGGUGAAUACGUUCCUGAGCCUUGUACACACCGCCCGUCAAGUCAUGGAAGCUGGUAGCGCCUGAAGUCGCCACGAUUCAGUGGUGCCCACGGCGAGACUGGUGACUGGGACUAAGUCGUAACAAGGUAGCCGUAGGGGAACCUGCGGCUGGAUCACCUCCUUU